UAGGUUAACUAAGAUUUCUAGAUAUAUAGAGAUAUAUUUCGAUUGGAUAGGCAUCCGUCAAACCUUUCAAAGACCUACAGAAUAUGGCAUUUAAAACGGUUUGGGGUUUUUCCUAACAGUGAGACACAAAUGCUCCUGGCAACACCACCUGCUUCAGAAGGGAAGAUGGACAUCAAAGAAACUUGUUAUGGAGUUUGCUUCCAAUAUGGCACAACUAGCCAUUUGGGCAAGAAACUGCUCUUGUCUGGACUGUUUGACUUUAUGCUGUAUAAAAUGGGCAUGGAGGACCCACAGGAAAGUGACUGCUUAAACGAGGUAGAUGUUGUUACAGGGUUCCUGCUUCAUGGAAGAGUCUGCCACACAUUCUACAGGACACAGAGAAAAGUGACCAACAAACUGCCAAUACAAGGCAGACAGUUGAAAGUUUCCUACUUUACUGAGGAGUCUACCAGACAUACUAUGUUCUCUGGACCAAAGAUGGAACAUUACAGAAGAACUCUGGGUGACUGAUCAGAAAAGAGAAGAUGAUGGAGGAAGUCUUCUGUACAUAUGUUCCUAUUAUUGGUUGAUGAAUUUUAAAUGUUAUCGUCACAUUGGGGAGGAUCUUAUAUGGAAUGUAAAUGGGGAUAAUACUUAGAAUAAAUUAUAUGAAGAAAAUGUA